UUAUCAAAAACAUUUCUUUAAGAAUUAAUUUAAAGUAAAACCUGCUCAAUGUAAAAUUUCAAUAAAUAGCCGCAAUUUAUUUGUGCUAAGGUAGCAUAAUCAUUAGCUUUUUAAAUAAAAGAUAGAAUGAAAGGUUAAACGAAAUAAUAACUAUCUCUAAAAUUUUAAAAUUAAUUUUAAAUAAAAGUAAAAAUUCUUUUUUCUAAAAAAAGGACGAUAAGACCCUAAUAAACUUAACCAAUUAUUUAGCUGGGGAAGCUAUUAAAAAUACUUUAAAAAUUUUAAAUUACAAAUCUAUUAUAAAUAUUUUAGAAAAAGUUACUAUAGGGAUAACAGCGCAACUUUUUUUAAAAGUUCAUAUUUAAAAAAAAAACUACGACCUCGAUGUUGAAUUAAUUUUUCUUAUAAAGUGCAAAAACUUAAUUAAGAAAGUCUGUUCGACUUAUAAAUAAUU
rnacentral:rRNA from 1 species